AUAAAUGUUUGUAAAACUUUAUUUUGGUCUGGUAAUAGACAGUAGUACAUAGUCAAAUAACAUCAUGACUCCUUCACAUUACACAGUGAACAGACAAGAACUUGAAGAAUGCAAACAAAAGUAAAAACAUGUUGCAGCCAGUCAUUCAAACAAGACAGCACAAAUCUAAAAGGCAUAUAUUGAACACACAAAAAAGUUUUCCAUUGACACCUAUCCUCAUAUUGGGCAGAUUAUGUCAAUUUGAACAAUUUUGAAUGACCAACAGUGAACAAGGGGGGGGGGGGGGGGACAAA